AUGAAAUUUAAUAAAUUGUUGAGAUCUCUCUCCUAAACUUUAUUUGUAUUCUCGCUUUUCGAGUUAUAAUUAACUGAAUGAUAUAUAUAAUCCUUGGGGUAUGUAUAUGUAUAAGGACUUCGUUUGACAGAUGUUACAAUCAUUCUUUAUUUAUACUACUUUCUUAAAAUUACUUAUAGUUGAUUCCAGUACAGGAUCCCUCAAGGUUCCUCUUCACCAG
rnacentral:lncRNA from 1 species